GAGCUUAAGGGGAGGGGGAAAAAGUCUUCUUCUAUCAUCCAUUGUGUAUGCUCCAGAGAAGAGCAGGCAUUAACAUUUCUUCCAGAAGACGCAUAGCAAGGCUAGUAGGAGAUACAAAAAUUCUAGAAGCAAACUGAACACCUGAACUCGAGGAUUUAUAAGAA